AGAGGCGAUGAAGGGCGUGCUAAUCUGCGAUAAGCGCCGGUAAGGUGAUAUGAACCGUUAUAACCGGCGAUACCCGAAUGGGGAAACCCAGUGUGACUCGUCACACUAUCAUUAACUGAAUCCAUAGGUUAAUGAGGCGAACCGGGGGAACUGAAACAUCUAAGUACCCCGAGGAAAAGAAAUCAACCGAGAUUCCCCCAGUAGCGGCGAGCGAACGGGGAGGAGCCCAGAGCCUGAAUCAGCAUGUGUGUUAGUGGAAGCGUCUGGAAAGGCGCGCGAUACAGGGUGACAGCCCCGUACACAAAAGCGCAUGUGCUGUGAGCUCGAUGAGUAGGGCGGGACACGUGGUAUCCUGUCUGAAUAUGGGGGGACCAUCCUCCAAGGCUAAAUACUCCUGACUGACCGAUAGUGAACCAGUACCGUGAGGGAAAGGCGAAAAGAACCCCGGCGAGGGGAGUGAAAAAGAACCUGAAACCGUGUACGUACAAGCAGUGGGAGCACCCUUUGGG
rnacentral:rRNA from 1 species